UCGCGUGACGUCCACGCUUUUGGAAAUUAUGGCUGCGUAUGCACGACGUUUUUUGAAUAGUCCAAAAGCUAUCUUCGUUGGCCGAAUGUUUCUUUCGCGUUCUCUUCUCUUUUUCGGGGCUGUGAAGCAAAUUUAUAUUGUAAAACCAUAUUUCACAAGAGCAUACUUCCAUGCUACGUAAAGCAAAUUUGUUUUAUGACCUUACAACACAAAAUCUGCGACAGCUCAAAGAAACGCAAACGCAAGUGCUCCUAUUUUUGAAGCAGUAUUUGUCGAAUCUGCAUCCAAUGCAUGCUGUCGAGCGCAGGCAAAAUGGCGGCCUCUGUUGAAGCCGUACAGCUGAUGCCUGAGCGUGUACUGCACGCUAGGGGAUCAGCUGUCUCGCGGAUCGUAGUCCGUACUGAAGCGCAAUUAAUUGCCACCGACAGCGCUGUACUUUCAUCUGAGAAGUAUUUAAGACGCUUCUUCUGGAAGUUAUGAGAUACAAGAGUGAGUUGAAUAAAUAUUGCGCGUGUAGUGCUGGCAUUAUUCCGUGGUUUUCGCUGCAUGUAUUGUAUGACGUGUGAUCCUUUUUUUUUAGGAAGAGCCAGCAAAAAUUAUUCUUAACACCGGAGAACAAAAUUUGGAACAUAAUGAAUCGAGAAAUGUCAAGGCACUCAGCACCUUUCAAUAGGGCACCGCCACCACAGAACAAUAGCUUCGUCAAAGUGAUAGCAGGGACAGUAACCGUUCCUCAGUCACACACCCCUGUACUGGCGGUUCUGCUCCGAGAAUGAAACUGUUACAACGGUAAAUGUGAGCAGCUAUUCUAACUCUUUUUACAAUAAAGGUAUAAAAAGGUAAAACACCAAGUAAUAAAAUCGAAGUGCGGGAGCUAAGCUUAGACAAAAUGUUUGCCUCUAACUUUGUUACUGAGUUGUGGCCCGGCUGAAAUUGCGAGGUUUUAGAAAGAGUGCACAAUGUCGGCAAAAGUCCCAUGUGUGUCUAAAGAACAUCAUCUAUUCUGCUGCAGUUUAUCGAGUAGCACCCAUAACUGGCGAGACCUUUUACAGAGCUCUCACCACGUAUGAGUGCUUCUCGAAAAAACGAGCUGUUGGAGGAGAUCGCGGAGGUUUCGAAUGAAAAGGUCCAGAGGUGAAAACCACCAGCCACUGGCGUGAUCACUGAACCAAAAUGGCCCAUAAAGCGAGGGAGGAGGCUGCCAGGGCGGCGAGCGAAAAGAGGUCUACGGGAGGCGGGAAAGGGGGUGGCAUCGAGGGCCGAGUCGUCGACGUGCUCGGGAGGACGGGCGGCGUUCUCGUGUCCCCUCCCCAGUUCUUCGCCGAUAGCGAAGAGCGUAAUGUUGGAUGUAAAAAGUAAUGUAUGUGUUACCUGUGACUUCACAAAUCGCACAUCUGCAUAGUAGAUUAUAACACAAGAUUGCAAUAUGUUUUGAGUCUUUCUUUCAAUUUUGUGCGGCUGAUACUAAGGUUACGUACUCUCAGCAGCGACUUGUGUAAGCGAUGUUCACUGUACACAGUGUUCACAAUGUCUAAACUCUAUUCUGACUGCAGGACACGAGCUCGGAGGAAGCAGCGGAACCAAGCGCUUCCCUCACAGAGAUGCCAGCAAUAAGCUUCUUCGUGAUGUCGGGCCCUGGCGCUCUUGCAUGGCCGAGUGGCCUUGCACAUAAGGCAGUUAACUAACUAUUGUAAUAGCAUUGUUUGUAGUUGCUCUAUGAUCUUGUUAUGAAAUAUUCCACUGGGAAUCUGCUCUCACCUUCAUGUCUGGAAUAAGUUAAUCCACUUACUCAUGGAGUAGAAAUGCAAGCCUAGAAAUCACAAGAUGUAGCUGCCAGUAUCGUUGAGCAUGAGACGUAGAUACUGGCUGUAAGGUAUUAUGUUAUAAUAGAGAUUUUUUGCGUUUCUUAUAGGUUACUGUUACCAGCAACUUUCUAUGGCAUCUUUUGUUCUCUAAUUACGUGGCUGCUUUGUGUAUUAUUAUUGUAGCUAUGUAGCUACAAUGAUGUUUCAAAGUCACUUGUUAGGAUAAUCAAGCUUUGUGGGUGGGAUAACAGCAAAUGAGCAAUCUUUGCUUUUAUAUUUCAUGAAGACCCACCAUCUGCUCAGGUGCCCCCCCAGCAGCCAAAGCCACACCAAGGAGUGCCAGCUUCGCAGGCGCCCAGCAGACAGCCGAAGUAGCAGGAGCUGGAAGACGCCGUCUGCAGGGUGACUGCCUAGUAUGUUCGGCUGGGGCAGUCGUCCUGAGGCGAGAGCCCAAGAGCAGCCGAGUUUCCGCCAGAAGCUGCUUCAACAAAACCGGCAGGCAUGUCUAAUUCAGAAGAACAGGGAGAAAGUGUCGAAGAAUCUGCGUACCAUAAGAUGUACGGGAAAAAGGCACGCUCCAAAUACCUUCGUGACGUGUAGGGUACUGCCGUGGAUCUUGCAUGAAACGCCAGACUCGAUAACGACGACUAUCGCUGGAAUGAUGCCGUUUUUGGUGUUUCACUCUGACCACGUGACAACGAACUUUUCAUUCGGGUGGCACGAACUGCAAGGUGUGACGUUACCAGCAACAGACCUACUAAAGGAGCGACACAACUACGACCGGAUCACAGGUCAUGGCACCUGGCCGGCGGACAGCAUGGCUCACCCACUUCUGCUGUUUGUGCAGGUAAUGAAGGACGGACUCGGUAACAACAAUUCUGCGUUCGUGUGGGCUUCAGUUGCUGGAAACCCGAAGGAAGAAAGGCAGACUUAAGAUUUUUUUUCAGACACUUCAAAGGCUCUUGAAGAUAAAAAAGGAAAAAUACACCCAGUCUCCUGCAAAACGUAGCGAGUGAAUAAAGCACAGCAGAGCGGUCAAGCUUUAUAACACACGUGCUGAUGGUUUUCGUUACUCUUUUUUCCUGGAUGUAAUCGAAAUGUGGAUUGCCUUACCUGCUGUUAUUGUAGAUCUGACAGAUGUGCAUAAAUUUGAAUGCUCGAUUGAUAUUUUGUAUCGUGGGCACCCAACAUGAUGCUAUGAAAUGUCAAAUGUGCUUGUGUUCUACUAUUUUCCCUCCCUGUAACAACACUCAAGCGAGGGUUAAUAGUAUCAAUAAAAAAAAAGAAGAAGAGAUGGCUGCAAACACUGGCAGCCCGAGAACAGCUGGCAGUACGUCCAGAGCCGGCCCUAAACGAUUCAUUUUAUUACUGCAGGUGCGUCAAUACGUCACUACUUUUUCAUGUGGUGCUACGGGCGACGAAUAUUCUUCGGCACGAGACAGUUCGUGGGUGUGACAGCUUUACUGGAAAUACAGAUAACUGUUCCGGUUCUUCGUGACUUCGGUUCGCAGAGCAAGGUGUUGCCCUGAUUUACCCACACCGUCAUCCUCCCUUUAAAAGGGCGUCACUUUCAAGCAGGAAACACUGUCAACAAGUGCAGUUGGAGGCACGCUCAAAGCCGGCACUAAACUAUUCAUUUGUUACUGCAGGUGAGCUGGUUUUGCUAUCACCGCAAUUCUGUACCCCUCUUGUGCCGCUGACUGCAAAACUGUCCUUUGAUUGUGCGACUGUGUGUGUGCAUUUUUGUACUCUUCUGUGAUGAAGGAAAAGAAGUGUAUUCAGUGUAUAGGUAGUUUUUCUGAUGAGGACCGAUAUAUGGAGCGCUCUAGCUGUGCAUCGUUAUAUUACCUCGGACAUGAGUGCUCGGGUGUGGCUGAAGGCACUUUUUCAUCCAUGGGCGCGUAAAGGCGAGAAAAGUGGCGAUGCAAAACAUGCAGAUCAGUGGAUGCACCCCAAGGUAGUUCUAGUCACUUUACAGCCAUUGCUGAAAAGCUAUCGUUGCUGGAUUCCAUUCGCGAGCAAGUCGAGUCUCUUUCCUUGAUUCCCUCUAAGAUAGACGAGUUGCAGCGCCUGAAGUCUGUGAUCGUAGCAUGCAGUGAAUACAAAAAUGGAAUAAAUAGAUGACUGGGUUAAAUGCCUGUCAAAUAAAGAUGAUUGCUUGCUGCAAGCAUCAGCAACUCGUGACAAAAACGUAUCUGCAUUGUCGUAGAGAGCGGCGAUACUUAAGGAUCACGUCGCUUCACAAGCAGCUAUUAUUGAAAGCCUUCGAAGUGAAAUAAACGCCUCUGAGCAGUAUAGUAGGUUCUCAAACCUCGAAAUUCAUAGAUUAUCCCAAAGUCCCAGCGAGAACUUGACUGCUGCUGUCUCCGGACUGGCCCCUCAGCUGGACAUUGACUCAUUCCUUUCAGGUCUCGUCGUAGCCUUAUGCUGGUUGCUUGGGCAGGGCAAGAAACCAGCGGCAAUUCUGGUGCGCUUUCUUUCGGCAGACAUACGGGACAGCUAGCUGAAAAAGCGGAAAUUAUUUAUGCUUUGGCGCAGGAAAAUGAGCCCUCGAUUUUCUUUGUCAAAAACUUGACAAAAUAGAACAUAGAACAUAGUCUGAGGCUAAGAAAGUGAAUUUCAAGUUCGUGUUGGUGAAACAUGGCAAAAUUUAGGCUCGGAAGAGGGAGGGUGACCCUAUUAUGCGUAUAAUCGGUCCUUCUGACUUGACUGAGCUAGCCUGACAGCUUAUUUUUAUUUUUAUUUUUCUGCUUUGUCUAUUGUAGUUUUGUCUUUGUUUCAUGGCUGUGUUCGAACAAUUCCGUGAUCUUCCUUCUCUCUCUAAUAUCUUUCAAAAGUUGGCGGAAGUACUUUCCCUGUUUUUUCAUGUAAACGUGCUCAGUAUUCGUAAGCAGUGAAAUUAAUUUGUUUCCAAGUUAGGGCUGUGCGUGACAAAGUUGAUGUUUUCUCAACUUAAAUCAGUAUUGGGCAAGAGCAUAUUAGUCUGUUUUCGCUCCAAGGUUGCCACAUUCAUUUUUGUUUACGCGAAAAGAUGGGCGUGGUGGUGAAAUUGCUGUAUCUAUAAAGGAUUGCUGGAUUUCGAGUCCUCUGACCAUAAACUUUACAACUGUUGAAUCGGUAGCGCUUCGUACUCACACAUAUUAUCUUGCCAUUUACUUUGCUUGCUAUAUAUAUGCCUCCAAACCAAAGCGUCAGAAAGUUUGUGCAUGAGUUACGUCUACUUACUUUUCUGUCUGGUCAAGUAUGCAUGAUAGGUGACGUUAACAUUGGCGUGCUGAAGAAAGAACAGGACAUCGUAGAUGAAUACCUGAAUAGGCUUGCUGACCUUGAGAUCAAACUUCCGUUAUCAACCUUCCAACACGUGUCGAAGUUUUGGGCGCAUCAGUCGCGUCUUCAUGUCUAGAUCACAGGAAUGUCCGUAACAAGGACGACCAGGUCUGUCCGUUUAUUAUUGAGCAAAAGCUUUCCGACCACUUUGUGUGGUGUACUUUUUUAUCGUCACAGCAUA